GAUGAAGAACGUAGCGAAAUGCGAUAAGUAGUGUGAAUUGCAGAAUUCAGUGAAUCAUCGAAUCUUUGAACGCACAUUGCGCCCCCUGGCAUUCCGGGGGGCAUGCCUGUCCGAGCGUCAUUGCUGCCCUCAAGCACGGCUUGUGUGUUGGGCCUCCGUCCUCCUCCCGGGGGACGGGCCCGAAAGGCAGCGGCGGCACCGCGUCCGGUCCUCGAGCGUAUGGGGCUUCGUCACCCGCUCUUGUAGGCCCGGCCGGCGCUUGCCGACACAUCAAUCUUUUUUCCAGGUUGACCUCGGAUCAGGUAGGGAUACCCGCUGAACUUAAGCAUAUCAAUAAGCGGAGGA
rnacentral:misc_RNA from 1 species